CUGGCUCAGGACGAACGCUGGCGGCGUGCCUAAUACAUGCAAGUCGAACGGUCUUUCUAUGGAAGCUUGCUUCCACUGAGAAGAUAGUGGCGAACGGGUGAGUAACACGUGGGUAACCUGCCCAUAAGAGGGGGGAUAACAUCCGGAAACGGGUGCUAAUACCGCAUAGUUUUCUUGAUCGCAUGAUCGGGAAAGGAAAGACGGCCUUUGUGCUGUCGCUUAUGGAUGGACCCGCGGCGUAUUAGUUAGUUGGUGAGGUAACGGCUCACCAAGACGAUGAUACGUAGCCGACCUGAGAGGGUGAUCGGCCACAUUGGGACUGAGACACGGCCCAAACUCCUACGGGAGGCAGCAGUAGGGAAUCUUCCGCAAUGGACGAAAGUCUGACGGAGCAACGCCGCGUGAGUGAAGAAAGGUUUUCGGAUCGUAAAACUCUGUUGUCAGAGAAGAACAAGUUGGAGAGUAACUGCUCCAGCCUUGACGGUAUCUGACCAGAAAGCCACGGCUAACUACGUGCCAGCAGCCGC
rnacentral:rRNA from 1 species